UACAGAGGUCUCAAGCGUUGUUCGGAUUCAUUGGGCGUAAAGGGUGCGUAGGCGGCGCGGUAAGUCGGAUGUGAAAUCUCGGAGCUUAACUUCGAAACUGCAUUCGAUACUGCCGUGCUUGAGGACUGGAGAGGAGACUGGAAUUUACGGUGUAGCGGUGAAAUGCGUAGAGAUCGUGAGGAAGACCAGUGGCGAAGGCGGGUCUCUGGACAGUUCCUGACACUGAGGCACGAAGGCCAGGGGAGCAAACGGG
rnacentral:rRNA from 1 species